UACGAAGGGGGCUAGCGUUGUUCGGAAUUACUGGGCGUAAAGCGCACGUAGCCGGACUGUCAAGUCAGGGGUGAAAUCCCGGGGCUCAACCUCGGAACUGCCUCUGAUACUGUCAGUCUAGAGUCCGGAAGAGGUGGGUGGGACUCCUAGUGUAGAGGUGAAAUUCGCAGAUAUUAGGAAGAACACCGGUGGCGAAGGCGGCCCACUGGUCCGGAACUGACGCUGAGGUACGAAAGCGGGGGGAGCAAACAGG
rnacentral:rRNA from 1 species